rnacentral:rRNA from 1 species
UUUGGCCUACGGGAGGCAGCAGUGGGGAAUAUUGCACAAUGGGGGAAACCCUGAUGCAGCGACGCCGCGUGAGUGAAGAAGUAUUUCGGUAUGUAAAGCUCUAUCAGCAGGGAAGAAAUAAAGUCCUUCGGACUUUGGACGGUACCUGACUAAGAAGCCCCGGCUAACUACGUGCCAGCAGCCGCGGUAAUACGUAGGGGGCAAGCGUUAUCCGGAUUUACUGGGUGUAAAGGGAGCGUAGACGGCAGCGCAAGUCUGGAGUGAAAUCCCAUGGCUUAACCAUGGAACUGCUUUGGAAACUGUGC